GUGGGGAAUAUUGCGCAAUGGGGGAAACCCUGACGCAGCGACGCCGCGUGAGCGAAGAAGGCCUUAGGGUUGUAAAGCUCUGUUUUAAGGGACGAAUGUCGUGGGGAGUAAUAUGCUCUGCGAAUGACGGUACCUUAAGAGGAAGCCCCGGCUAACUACGUGCCAGCAGCCGCGGUAAGACGUAGGGGGCGAGCGUUGUCCGGAAUUACUGGGCGUAAAGAGCACGUAGGCGGGAACUUAAGUCAGGUGUGAAAGACCGGGGCUCAACUCCGGGGUUGCACUUGAAACUGGGUUUCUUGAGGGCAGGAGAGGAAAGCAGAAUUCCUGGUGUAGCGGUGAAAUGCGUAGAAAUCAGGAGGAAUACAGUGGCGAAGGCGGCUUUCUGGACUGACCCUGACGCUGAGGUGCGAAAGCGUGGGUAGCAAACAGGAUUAGAAACCCUUGUAGUCC
rnacentral:rRNA from 1 species